rnacentral:misc_RNA from 1 species
AAACUGUAACCCUUGGGAGAAUCCAUUAUACAAAGAAUUUCGAGUCGUACGGAUUUUUUAAAUUCCGUUGUUUUCUUCUAAAACGAGGGAUCGUCCAACGACGCCGAAAUGUCCGGGCUUGCCGAAGACAAAUUUAAAAAGAUGCAAGACGAAAUGAGCAGGUUUGAGGAAGAAAUUGGUCUUCCGAUACCUGAAGUUGGUGCUAUUGGUCCAAGGGUGAUAAGCACCAGCACUUUCAACGACGCUCAAAAACAACUUGCAGCAAUAGAUGUACAGAGGCCGAACCUAGAUUACAAUGGAUCCGUUUACAGGGGAAGUAGUCUGCCCCAAGUUGGAUCAAUCCCCGGCCCUCCAAUUCCACCAUCCGGCCUCCCUCCUACGUUUAGUCUAAUGGUUCCUCCAAUGGUGCAAAUUCAGUCAAAUUACACUGCUACCACUGCCAGCACUUUUCAAACGCCUUCAAUACCGCAAACAAGGUUCAUUCCGCCACCACCUCCUCAAGUGACUGUUCCCGACGAUUCCCCAAAAUCGUCAAACGUUCCUGCAGUAUUAAGUGGUUCACCGAUGAUGUACGUCAACCCACAAAUGGACCUCUCCAUUUAUGAAACCGAACCCACACCAGUGAAUCCAAUUUUGCCAAACCAAGAAACACUGGAGGAGGCAAAGAGAAUGCAGAAGUUGAGCAAAAAGGCUGCCGAGUUGAGUUACCAUCUUUCUAGAAGAAAAGAAAAGAAGAAUAAAAAGCUCAUUAGAACAGCAGGGGGUCAAACCUGGGAAGAUCAAACCCUCGCUGAAUGGGAAGAUGAUGAUUUUCGCCUCUUUUGCGGAGAUUUAGGAAAUGAUGUGACAGAUGAAGUACUGACACGUGCUUUUUCAAAAUACUCAUCAUUUUUAAAAGCUCGAGUUGUCAGGGAUAAAAGGACCAAUAAAACAAAAGGUUUCGGUUUCGUGAGUUUCAAAGACCCUCAGGAUUUCAUCAGAGCUACAAAAGAAAUGAAUGGGAGGUAUGUUGGAAGUAGGCCGAUCAAACUAAGGAAGAGCUCGUGGAAAUCAAGAUCGAUGGACGUCGUGAGGAAAAAAGAGAAGGAAAAAGCCACUCUUAUAAAUAUGUUGACUGGGAGGUGAUAGGCUUCAAGAAAUAGACAAAUAUGUUUAAUUACCAUCUAUCUCUGCAUUCGGCGAGUUACCGAAACCUGGCCAAAUUCUUCCCCUACCCUUUUUUUCUCCCCAAGAAGAAACAAAUAUAUAUAUUUUUUAAAUUGUUAACAUCAAGGAGAAAUUGCAAAAUGUGCGAGUGACAACGCUCCGGCUCCUUUUGUGCAGCGGGAUGCUGAAUUUGUUGAGCGCAUGUCUUCAACAAAACGGCUGGGGCGUCUUCCGAAAGCUUCAGUCUCAUUCCCACGUCAUCAGAAGUAGGAAGUAAAAUGUUGCUCAGAAGUUUCUCAAAAGCAUCUUGGAAGAUUUUAACAUGUCUCGUGGCUUUGUAUCUCGCUCGUAACGCCUGCGAGGCGUUACCCGCACCCGUCUACAGCAGUGAGAACCAGGAAGAGCGCUUCGAACCCAAACGGGACGUGUUCAUGUCGCGAGGCUGGGGGGCCGGCGGCAUGCCGUACAACGUCAUGUACGUCGGGCCGAAAGGGACCCGGACCAGGGGACAGGAAACGCCCAGGAUGGGGGACGACGUCCUUCUCAAGAAUCCAGUCGAGAUGGCCGACGAAGAUAUUGAAGUCCCCAUCGCAAGGCCGUCUGUCCAAUUCCUCACGGCUCAUCCGGGCAUCAUCCUCCGCGGGGACUUGGACCCACCCAGGAAACAAUACUCGAUAAUACCUCAGCUGUUCGUGUCUUACGGUUGGGGGCCACUAGGAAAAUAAACCAAGGGAAAUUUCUGCCAUUUCUUAUCAAUUAAGUUAUUUUGCCGUUUUUCACUGUAAAUAAGUUGUUCAUUUAUCGCUUUAGAUCUAUUUCGGACCUUUAAUUUGCAAUCCUGUCUUCAAAACAAUUAAGUCUCUAUUUUCAGACACAUUUUUCUCUCUUGUUGAUAAAGGUCCAAAUAAUAGAAGAAAAAUAAAGAAUAUUAUCAAUUAUCUUUUAUUUAUGUUUCAAAUGCCUUCAUUAAUAAACUAGUUGGUUUUUUG